GCCAAAACAACAAAGAGAGAAGUAAAAGUACAUGGACCUGAAAAGAAGGAAGUAAAAGCAACAAAGGCAACAGAGCAAGAUAAACCAAAGAUGAAACAUGGAAAUCCUGGAAAAGAGAAAGAAUUGAAAUCUCCAGCAGCUACAAAAGAUAAAG